GUUGUGCGCCAUGGAACCCAAAACUCCAGGAGAGAAGCUCAGAAGCAGAGCUGACGGGUAAGGAGGAGGCCAGGAAGAGCCAAAGCAGCUUUGUCAGCUUGCGCGCAGUCAAUUCUGCAGGGACUUCUUGUGAAAAGUGAGCAUUUGCUGUCCCGGGAAAGUCCUGCUCCAUGACUGAAAGGAAACGAUUUUUGGCAGAGUCCCUUCCUUACAACCAGGAAUGAUGCUGGGUAGCAGUAAGCAAUAAUGGAUAAACAGACUUUCAGCGAAGCCCUUCAGUGAUGCAUGGGCUACUCUGGGUUAAGCCUACCAUCCGUCAAUACGGUACGAUCUUGUAAGAGCUCAAAAGAACCGAAAAGGAAUAAAACUUCCACGCUGUC